rnacentral:rRNA from 1 species
AGUCGAAGCCCGUUAAUGGGUGACGGCGUACCUUUUGUAGAAUGAACCGGCGAGUUACGAUCGUAUGCGAGGUUAAGUUGAAGACACGGAGCCGCAGCGAAAGCGAGUCUGAAUAGGGCGAAAUGAGUAUGCGGUCGUAGACCCGAAACCGUGUGAUCUACCCAUGUCCAGGGUGAAGGUCAGGUAACACUGACUGGAGGCCCGAACCCACGUAUGUUGAAAAAUGCGGGGAUGAGGUGUGGGUAGGGGUGAAAUGCCAAUCGAACACGGAGAUAGCUGGUUCUCUCCGAAAUAGCUUUAGGGCUAGCCUCAAGGAAAGAGUACUGGAGGUAGAGCACUGAUUGAACUAGGGGCCCUCAUCGGGUUACCGAAUUCAGUCAAACUCCGAAU